GGGAAUUUAGCUCAGUGGUUCCAGCACCUGCCUUGCAAGCACAAGGUCCCAAGUUCGAUCCUUGGUACCA
rnacentral:tRNA from 1 species